CCUACGGGCGGCUGCAGUGGGGAAUAUUGGACAAUGGGCGCAAGCCUGAUCCAGCCACGCCGCGUGAGUGAUGAAGGCCUUCGGGUCGUAAAGCUCUGUGGGGAGGGACGAACCGCCACCGGUUAAUACCCGGUGGCAUGACGGUACCUCCUUAGCAAGCACCGGCUAACUUCGUGCCAGCAGCCGCGGUAAUACGAAGGGUGAAAACGUUGCUCGGAAUUAUUCGUAGUCGAGCGAGCAUAUCCGGAGUGAAAUCCCUCGGCUCAACCAAGGAAGUGCUUUCGAAACUGCUGAGCUUGAGUACUUAAGAGGAUCGCGGAAUUCCCGGUGUAGAGGUGAAAUUCGUAGAUAUCGGGAGGAACACCAGUGGCGAAGGCGGCGAUCUGGGAAGAUACUGACGCUGAGGUGCGAAAGCGUGGGGAGCAAACAGGAUUAGAUACCCUAGUAGUC
rnacentral:rRNA from 1 species